rnacentral:rRNA from 1 species
UACGAGGGGGGUAAGCGUUGUUCGGAAUUACUGGGCGUAAAGGGCUCGUAGGCGGCCAACUAAGUCAUACGUGAAAUCCCUCAGCUUAACUGGGGAACUGCGUGUGAUACUGGAUGGCUUGGAUUUGGGAGAGGGAUGCGGAAUUCCAGGUGUAGCGGUGAAAUGCGUAGAUAUCUGGAGGAACACCGGUGGCGAAGGCGGCAUCCUGGACCAAUAUUGACGCUGAGGAGCGAAAGCCAGGGGAGCAAACGGG